CUCAUGAAAUGAGAAUCUCCAUUGAAAAGUGGUUUUUCCAUCUCCAAGAACAACGUAGGAAAAUUGAAUUGAAAUUGGCCGAGAGAUCAUUUUAUUUUUCUCUAGAUGGGCAGAUUGAUUAUUGCUUGUCUACAU
rfam:Eucalyptus grandis cultivar BRASTZ1 unplaced genomic scaffold scaffold_6, whole genome shotgun sequence.